UCCGUGUUAACCACGGCAGUCUCCUUAGAGUGCCCAACUUAAUGCUGGCAACUAAGAACAAGGGUUGCGCUCGUUGCGGGACUUAACCCAACAUGUCACCACACGAGCUGACGACAGCCAUGCAGCACCUGUCACUCUGUAGUAUUGCUACUAAGGCCCUAUCUCUAGGGUUGUCAGAGGAUGUCAAAUCCAGGUAAGGUUCUUCGCGUUGCUUCGAAUUAAACCACAUGAUCCACUGCUUGUGCGGGCCCCCGUCAAUUCCUUUGAGUUUUAGUCUUGCGACCGUACUUCCCAGGCGGAGUACUUAAUGCGUUAGCGCCGGUUCAGCGGGGGUCAAGACCCACCAAACCUAGUACUCAUCGUUUACAGCGUGGACUAC
rnacentral:misc_RNA from 1 species